GCCGAAGCUAGAGACGGAGGAAAAUAAAGAAUUUAAAGACACAUAUUAAUUCACGCCGUCCCUUCAUCUGCAAUUUCGGCGUCUUUGUGUCUCACGCCUUCCUGCACAUCCACGGUUCCUUGCUCAAUGAGAGCGUAGUCGAUGACGCCCACCAUCCAACACAGCAAGACGAGCCCAUUAUCCGCGCGCGUCGGCGCCGCGGCCGGUCACUGUAAACGAAACUCUGAUCUUUGCUUCAAUGCGAACCACAAAUUGCAUCACUGCAGCUGACGGUGCCUGCAGGCUCGGUGUGUGUGCGUGUGUGUGUGCGCGCGCUGAGGCCUCAGACGCGCUUUACGGCCUCGGUGAAAAUCAUCAAUAACAAGGUAUCCGAGAACUAAGACAUCAAUUGCGUAUGAGGCGGCGAUCAAUAAUUAAUUUAAUAGAACACGCCACAUCUUGAGAUCCGUUACUGCCCAUUAGAGUCUUAAGCAGGAGCCAUAGAGAUGUCAUUAGGACACAUUAGCGUUGAAAUGACUAUACAAAGCCAAUAAUUCCUCAGUUGUGGUUGUGGAUGGAAGCUCGUCAUUAAACAGUCAUAUGCAGAACAGGCUUUCAAAAAGAAUCUUUGCCUCGUUUUCAUCUGCGGCGGUUAAGAAUCCCAAUUUGUGAUGGUAGUCGGCGUAGCUGGGAAGAUCUGGAAGCGAGUCAGAUAUCGCCUCGCUGCACUGCACGAUGGGGGAGCGUGACCUUGUUAUCACGGUGGCUCCACGUCAGCUCACACACCACUUAUGGCACAUAAAAGGGAACAUAACGUGAUAUGUAAAGCAUUUCACCAGUGUGGAUAUGAACCAUUAAGUCAUCUAAACUUAACUGAUUAGAAUUUACAUUUUUUUUUGUGCCAUAAAAAGUCACUCUUACAAAUUAAUAUGAAACUAGAUGAUGAAAGAAAAAAAAACCCUGAAAAUAACCAGAGAAUCUUCAACCGACUUGACACAAGUCAACAUCCAUCCCCGAGUGAGGCAACGUCAUGGCGACCGUGCCCAUGAGCCAUUGCUGAGAGCGCCACGUGUUUGUGUACUUUACACUACAAAUGAUACUUGGAUCAGACUCACCUUAUGAUAAGAAAGAGUCUCAGUCCUUCCUGAGGGACGUUUUCUCCUCCUUUCUGACUCACGCUGCUGGUUUUUGCAGCGUCAUUGUAGUGCAGUGGCUUCCUGCACGACUCAAUAUUGUGUACUCACUUCAGCGUUUUAAGGGGUUAUUUCUUCAAGUGUCACUUAGAGUCACCGGUCGUAUUGUCCUCGGGUCAGUGGCAGGUUGAUGUAUCGCUAAUGACCGAUUGGAUGGAAAGAGGACAGCUGAAGGUAAUGCUGAAGACAUGAACGUUCAAAUCAAUGACGAAAUAACAAAAUAUCUGUUUUUAAUUUACAUUUACAAUCCAUUGCUGUAAACCUUGAAACAUUUCCAAUCAGAGUAUCUAACUUGGGAAUUAAUGCUGCAUGCGCUGUGUUUUCAGCACACUGACACACAUGUGACUUAAGUAUAUUUAAUGCAUUUUACAAACAGAGAGAGAGGGAAAUGGGAUAACUUAAUAAUUAUGUCAUCCUUUUUAACAAAAUAGUCACCGGUUUUAAAAGAAAACAUUGUACAACAACCCUGAUAAUCUGUUCACCCAUCGCAUGCAGUUUAAUGGCUUUAGACACAGCAGGAAUGUCAUUUGAUAAAAGUCACUGAAUGCAUGAGUGAUCCCGACCAAACAACAUCCAACAGGAAUACAUUGUUAUUUAUUCAUUAAAUAACGAUCAGAGAUACAUUUUCCAAAUCCGUGACACAAGAAGAAAAACACCCUGCGUGAUCAAAUCGCUGUAGCUGCAGUCAUUAAGAUGCAGAUGGAUUAAUGAUCCCGGACAGUGCGAGUGGUUUGUGUUAAAGUCUCCACAUGGUUCACAACUGACCAUAUGGAGAAACCCACACACUGUCCAUGGCACCAACCAAAGGUCACUUUGGCUAUUGAUGCUAAUGAAGGUAUUAUAAAUAUCAACAUAUUGUAGAUUUUGUUGUCUUCAACUGUGACAUAUUGUGAAUAUAAUUAGAACUGUUCCUUCAUCUUAAUGCAAGAAAAUAGGAUUAAAUGUUUGAAUCAUGUAAACAAUUACAUCAUUUUCUCCGGUUGUACAACAUGAGCAAGAAGGCCGUCUAACUUUGGAUGGCUACAGACGACAGUGUGUCUUUAUUUGAGGGACACCUUGAGCUGGCUAGUUAAACCUGGCUUGUGGUUAAAGCAGUGGGUUGUCGCCGUGUAUUUAGAGCAGCAGCGUCUGGUUGGUUGAUGGUUGACGACGCUAACAGCAGCUAAGUGGCUGCUUUCGGGUUCCCUUUUCUCGCUGGCUUGCUUGUCGGGGGGCUUUGUGAGGUGGCCUACUUGUGAGGACCGGCACGCCCCUUUGGAGAAGGAGGCACCCACAUAAAAAUAAAUCAGUAUCAGCAGAAGUGCAUGCUUUAACUUCCCGUCACUAUUACUAAAAGUUAUACUUUAAGCUCUCUCCAAAGCCUCUCAAACCGUAUGGAUGAGUUUCACUUGUUGGGAGUAUUCUACAUAUGGAGUACACUUGGAAUCAUACGAUUGUAUUUAGUUGAGCCUUUCUUUUAGUUGGAUAAGAUAUGUUUCACUGCCGUUUCCGUCCUGCAUGGCUCUUCAAACCGGAGGUGUCCCACCGAAUACGUCAUGUGAUCAUACGAGUCCUCUACAAAUAAGCUGUAAGAAGAAGCAGCAGAUACCAUCGCCUCUCACACCUCUUUAUUCUUAUGAAUUCAAGGCACAGAAGCUAUUUCUCAUCAUCCGACUCUUUCAUUUUUUCUUUCCAGCCGUAGAGUUGUCUUGAGCCAAACUCAUAUGGACCCAUUGAAUCACACCUAUCUAAUAAAUCCACCUCACAAAGGAUUUGAAAAUCGCCGGACCGUAUCAAAGCAAAAUGACAUGCUUCGUAGUGUACCGGUCUGGAGAGAGUUCAGCUGCGAGCCGCGUUACAAAUAAAGACAUUCUGGACAGAAAACCGAAACAAAAAACGUCUGAAUUGAAUUAACUGAGCUGAAUAGAUGAAAUCAAUUUAAAAAUGUUCUUUCAUUAAGCACCUCCUAUCAAUAACCUUAUGGUUCACAUGUUAUGGCGCAACACUUUAAUGGAUCAUUUAUUUCAUAUGGAUUUAUCCAAUAUUGGACGCGGUUAGGGUUUUAUGAGUAAAUACGGACAUCAAGCAGCGCCACACGGUCCAUUAUCUAAAUGGUUUAAUUGAUGUGAGCGUACGACUGGCUGAGUUCCACCCAGUAACCCCUCAGUGCCUGGCAGGGGAGAAACACAUUGUCAUCCAGGCACUCGACUCGGAUCUUCCUCUGAGGUUUCAUCGUCCUCCAUAUGAAGGAGAGAGAGAGAGCGACUGAGGACUUUAAAGCAAAGGCACUGUUCUCUGUUUGCCACCAGCAGCAGUCUGCAUCUCCCGGCACCCAGAGACAGCAUUAAGGUGGACUCCUUCCUUUGUGUUUCACACACAGUGAUGGCUGCCAGGACUCACAGCCACUGAUUGGCAAAGAGGGAGGAACCUUUUCAUGUGUGUGUGUGUGUGUGUGUGUGUGUGGGAGGGGGGGAGGGAGGGGGGGCUCCCUUUUGACUUGACUCUGGUGGGAGAUGCUGCGACUGAGCUGCCUACAAAGCUGAGGGUGGAGAAAAGAAGAAGAAGAAGAAGAAGGAAAAAACACAGAAAAACAAAAGGGACAAAAGUAAACCGUUUGACUCCGGGGGACAAACUGGGAUACCAGGUGUUAAAUAAUCUUCUCAUAACCUGCUUAGCUUUCUCAAAAUAACCCAAUUUGGACGGUGCUAUAUGGCACCAGGAAAUCAGCCUCCCCCUGGGCUCUGCAGGCAAAUUAGUGGGACACUUGUACCCGCAUGGCAAUGCUAACAGGGAUGCUGCUCAGCAUUCACAGCGAGGGGAACACAUUAAACAAGGUUACAUUUGUGACUUUGGUACCAACACCAGAUUCCACACACUGACACAGCUUCCUUCAUAACAAGGGACAUUUUCUUAACUGCCCUUUUGUUCUAAUAUAUAUAUAUAUACACACAAAUUAUUCUCAUUAUCAAUCGCUUUGGGGAAGAUUCAAAUUCUAUGCACGCACAUGCUACAAAUUAGGCUCACAAUGUUACCAUUCCGUGCAUGUGAUGAUUAGCAGCAAUCAUGAAUGUUUGUGGUACGGCCUGAAAAUAAAAUCUUGUUCCAUCUGUUUUUGUUUCCUCUUGAAAACAGACAAAGCAUAUGAAAUAUAAAAAAUAGAAAUAAGAGAAUGAGAUUGUCCCUGAAGAACGUGUCCUCCCUCUCGGCUGCGCGCAGUGUUUGAGAUGCUGGGGAGGCUUUUUUCUCUCAGACUUCAGACAAGCGUUACAGCGGACAGUGUUUGCUUCACGUUGCCGAGGAGACGGUGCCUUUUUCGAGGAAAGAAUUCCACAGUUUGAUUAUCAUGCUGCCAUGUUGAAUUGUCUUCCAGUGUCUUAAGCCGUCUGAACAGAACUGGCACGUAAACAAGCUACUCGGCCGAAGGGACGCGGAGGUGAAAACACAGUGAUGUUGUUGACAUGUUUCAUUUUUAACCAUGAAUUCCAGUAAAUAGAUAAAAAUCGAUUUAUUUAUUGUUACCAUGUAAACAAUUGCGUAAAAAGCCUUGAGGACGUCUUCUACAAGCACUGGGAUCAAAAUACAGACGUUUUUCCUGUACGGACACGUAACAGGGACCUAUAGUUAGGGUAGGUAUGACAUGGUAUGGUAGUUAUGAUACAGUAUGGUAGUUAUGACAUGAUAUGGUAGUUAUGAUACAGUAUGGUAGUUACGGUAGUUAUGAUAAGGUAGUUAUGAUCUGUAUGAUAGUUAUGGUAGUUAUGAUAUGGUAGUUAUGAUACAGUAUUUGUUAUGGAAGUUAUGAUAUGGUAGUUAUGAUAGGGUAUGAUAGUUAUGGUAGUUAUGAUACAAUAUGGUAGUUAUGGACACAUUAUGGUAGUUAUGAUAUGGUAUGGUAGUUAUGAUACAUUAUGGUAGUUAUGAUAUGGUAUGGUAGUUGUGGUAGUUAUGAUACGGUAUUGUAGUUGUGGUAGUUAUGAUACGGUAUGGUAGUUGGGUUAGUUAUGAUACGUUAUGGUAGUUGUGGUAGUUACAGCAUGAUACGGCAUGGUAGUUGUGGUAGUUAUGAUACGGUAUGGUAGUUGUGGUAGUUAUGAUACGGUAUGGUAGUUGUGGUAGUUAUGAUACGUUAUGGUAGUUGUGGUAGUUACAGCAUGAUACGGCAUGGUAGUUGUGGUAGUUAUGAUACGGCAUGGUAGUUGUGGUAGUUAUGAUAGGGUAUGAUAGUUAUGGUAGUUAUGAUAAAUAUGGUAGUUAUGACACAUUAUGGUAGUUAUGAUAUGGUAUGGUAGUUAUGAUACAGUAUUGUAGUUCUGGCAGUUAUUAUAUGGUAGUUAUGAUACGG
ensembl:lncRNA